CGCUCACAGGUGUUGCAUGGCUGUUGUCAGCUCGUGUCGUGAGAUGUUGGGUUAAGUCCCGCAACAGAGCGCAACCCUCGCCUAUAGUUGCCAUCAUUAAGUUGGGCACUUUAGAGGGACUGCCAGUCAUAAGCUGAAGGAAGGUGGGGAUGACGUCAAGUCCUCAUGGCCCUUAUGGGUUGGGCUACACACGUGCCACAAUGGCGGUUACAAUGGGAAGCGAAAGGGUGACCUGGAGCAAACCCUCAAAAGCCGCCUCAGUUCAGAUUGCACUCUGAAACUCGAGUGCAUGAAGUUGGAAUCGCUAGUAAUCGCGUAACAGCACGACGCGGUGAAUACGUUCCCGGGUCCUUGUACACACCGCCCGUCACACCAUGGGAGUUGGUUUCACCUGAAGUUGGUAUGCUAACCGAAAGGAGGCAGCCACC
rnacentral:rRNA from 1 species